UAUUAACUAAUAAUUACGUAAAAGUUACGAAAAAUUAUUUAUUUUGUGUCCAUAUUUGCUUAAAUUAUGUAUGUGUGACUAAUCAUUGAGAUAGCCGUGAAAUGAGCGUAAUCGCCAUUUCGAAACCAAUUAAAAACAAUAACAACAACUGCAAAACGAGAAAUUACGAUAAAAGUCGAGAGUAUUUUCUUACCCGGUCGGUCAUAUCAGGAGAAGUGGUGCCAAUAAGUUUCGCUAGUUUUUUUUUAAUUAAUUUCAUUUUUAAUGUAAUUUCAUUGAUAAAUUUAGUUUUGAGCGUAAAACUCUAAUAAAAAAAUAGUAGGUUUUGUUUUUUUAAGUAAGACUAAUCACUUUGAAUACGGAAAAUGUAUUUAUUUUAAAAUAAUUUGGUUUUGAAAUCUGGCAGGACAGUUACGAAAAUGGUCAAAGCAGAAAGACAACAAAUUCCAAUUUCCAACUGUAAAAUGCAUAAGUGAUGAUUAGGAAGCAAAGAAGUGACUGAAAUAAUUUGACUUUUGUUCCUAUUUGAGCAUAUUUAAUUUUGUAUCAGAAACAAUUUAUUAUGCCUAAAAGUAAAAUUAGCACAAAUUUUGCUAAAGUGAAUAUUUGUCAUAAGUUAAGAGACUGUUGAAGCUGUUUCGGUGACAGCGGAACUGUAUCUCAAUUCCAACAAGUGCAUCGCCUACGUAACUACCCGUCUGCAAAAUAUACACUAUUGUUGUUCUGCCUUUGUAAUCUCUACUAGCCACACCUCAACUUUCAAGAAGUAUAAUUUUAAAUUGCACAACAUGGUGGAUCGUCUAGUAAAUUCUGAAGCUAAUUCAAGGCGAAUUGCUAUGGUCGAAAGCUGCUUUGGCAGCUCUGGUGUACCUUUAGCAAUUCCAGGACGCGUGCUUGUUGGCGAAGGUGUUUUAACUAAGAUGUGUCGCAAGCGGCCAAAGUCUCGACAGUUUUUCCUUUUCAACGAUAUAUUGGUAUAUGGUAAUAUCGUAAUAGGAAAGAAAAAAUAUAACAAACAACACAUUAUGCCAUUGGAAGAGGUAUCUUUGGAAUCUCUCGAGGAUAAUGGACAAUAUCGUAAUGGUUGGUUGAUACGAACCACAACAAAAUCGUUUGUUGUUUACGCCGCUACAAGUACUGAAAAACAAGAAUGGAUGGCACAUAUCAACAAGUGUGUGGAAGAUUUACUGCGAAAGAGCGGAAAAAAACCUGUGGAGAAUCACGCUGCUGUUUGGGUACCAGACGCCGAAGCCACCCACUGUAUGAAUUGCAAGAAAACACAAUUUACGAUGAUAGUUCGACGUCAUCAUUGUCGCAACUGCGGAGCAGUUGUAUGCGGACCGUGCUCAUCUAAAAAAUUUUUACUGCCUCAACAAAGCUCCAAACCUGUACGUGUUUGUACCGCUUGUUAUGAUCGUCUUUCUAAAGCGGUAAAAGCGGAAUCGUCCAAAACGAACCUUACAAAUGCUGGUGCAAAUUUAACAACACCAUCUUCCGCGAAUAUUGAUGGCAAUGGUAAUGGCACUGGAAAAAUGGUGGACAGUUCGGGUGAUGAUGAUUCGGAGGAAGAAGGCACUGGUGCAGCCAACGAAAUGCACGAUGAACCACGUUUCUACGGUGAUACAACAUUGUCGGCUGAUGAAUCUACGUCAUCUGCGGCGCUUAAUUCGAGUCACACACCUAGUGUUAAUAACUGAUGUGCGCAGUCUAAAUGUUUAGAGGGCGGGUUAUUUGACGCAGGUGGUGACGAACGCGGGAAUAUACACAGUCGAACUGUUACAAGAAGGAAAGGGUGUGACGAUAUGCAGCGAAAUAAAAAUAAACAAAAUUAUAAAAUUAAACAACGACAGCAAGAAGAAAAAACUGAAGUAAAUCAACCAGAACAUCAACCAGACGAAUGUGGAAAGAAGGUGUGGCAUUGCGUCUGGAAAAGAAAAGGAUUAACGAAGUUUUUUGAUCUUCAAAAGGGAGGAGGAAGAACGUAAGCGACGUGAGGAACAACGCAUCAAGGAGUUGCGAAAGCUCACCACGUUCAAAGCACGACCAAAUCCUUUUAA
rnacentral:misc_RNA from 1 species